CAUCAGCAUCAUCGGCAUCACUAUAAGCAGAUUUGGCGCAGAAAUAGGUGGCGGAAUCCUCGUCCCUGAGGCUGUUCAUGGUCAGCGUCACCGAGCUCUGCCCGUUGUCCCUGGAGAUCGUGAACCGGCCCUCGACCGACGGCGCGUAGCCGGUGCUGCCACCGCUGUAGAUCCCUGCGACGUAUUCCAGCCCCUGCCCAUUUUUCUGGCGGAUCCACAUCAUCCCGAAUUUGCUGAAG